rnacentral:ncRNA from 2 species
CUCGGAUCAACCUAUGGUGGACCUUCGCACGUCAUGGGUAGGAAACCGGUGAAAUUCCGGAACGGUCGCGCCACUGUGAUCGGAGGAUGCCGUAAAGCUCCAGCCGAAAGUCAGACCCUCUUGUGAUGGGCCAAA